rnacentral:lncRNA from 1 species
GUCCCUUAAUUUUGUGCACCAUCAGAUGGUGCCUUGGGACUUGUGGGCAUGGAAGAGGAGAAGGAGUCCUUCUUUAGGAAGGAACUCCAUGCCAAAAUAGAUAUGGGACGCCCACUUUUUGUGUGUUGAAAUGGAAGAGUCCAUUUCAUACUGAACUCUUGAUUCCUUCCAUUAUUUCUACACAUUUCCUUAAUUCCUCAUGACAUAUAAUGGCACUUGGGAUAUGAGGCAUAGA